rnacentral:rRNA from 1 species
UAGGGAAUCUUACGCAAUGGGCGAAAGCUUGACGGAUCAAUGCCGCGUGAGUGAUGAAGGUCUUCGGAUCGUAAAACUCUGUUAUCAGGGAAGAACAAAUGUGUAAGUAACUAUGCACGUCUUGACGGUACCUAAUCAGAAAGCCACGGCUAACUACGUGCCAGCAGCCGCGGUAAUACGUAGGGGGCAAGCGUUACCCGGCCUUAUUGGGUGUAAAGCGUGCGUAGGCGGGUUUUUAAAUCUGAAGUAAAAGCCCAAGGCUCAACCGUGGGGGGUCAUUGGAAACUGGAAAACUUGAGUGCAGAAGAGGAAAGAGGAAUUCCAUUUGUAGCGGUGAAAUGCGCAGAGAUAUGGAGGAACACCAGUGGCGAAGGCGACUUUCUGGUCUGUAACUGACGCUGAUGGGCGAAAGCGUGGGGAUCAAACAGG